AAUAAGUACGCAUUUAAGAGGGAAUUUUGGUAUUAACUCCUGAAUUAAUUGCUGCAAAGCCCAACCAGGAGAAGCCAAGAAGUCUGUCGGACAGGGAUAAUGCCGAUAAUGGACUUGGUUCCAAAAUCGCCUAGUAUUCGAAUUGAAGACGACAAUGACAAGAUUAAUUAAACCAAUUCC